rnacentral:lncRNA from 1 species
UGCAAAAGAAAUAUGCUUUCAUUCCAUUUUUUUCUUCUGUAUUCACUCUUUCUUUUUUGCUAGGUGGCAUGCAUGCAGUGGUUUCAUGGAGACCAUACAAUGCUUGAGAUGAUUGAGAAAAAGCGUUGCUUGUGCAAGGAAAUAAAGGCUAGACAGAAAACGGAAAAGGGCCUUUGCAAACAGGAUAGCAUGCCUAUCUUGCCCAGCUGGAAGAAGAAUGCAGGUGCCAAGAAGUACAGCCCUCCACCGUAUUCUAAACAGCAAACGGUAUUCUGGGAUACUGCCA